GUGGCGGAUUAGUAAGCUGAUUUGGAAGAGAUUGUGGGUAAGCAAAGCUUCUUGAUGCAGUGUGGUUGUUUGAAGAAUAGCUAAAUGAGCUUAUGGCAAAGCUGGCUAUUUCUCAAACAAAUCAUGCGGUACUUAAAAGCUUUAGUUGCUCAUAAUUACCUCCAAGUCAGCUCACCAAUUGAGUACCAUAGGUUGGAAUUCUUAGAAAAAUAAGAGAAU
rnacentral:lncRNA from 1 species